AAGCUAGGGUAGUCUGUAAGCAGACCGGUACUAAUGAACCGUGAGGCUUAACC
rnacentral:rRNA from 1 species